GAAUAUUGAUAUUGUUAUAGUCACAAUGAUAUUGUCAAAAUGAGCCGUAUGUUCUCGCCGGCGGUAAUUAGGACCGAGAAAAAAAUGAAUAAAAUGGAAUAAUCGAAUUGAAUUGAAGUUUUUUUUAUCGAAUUUUUUCAGUUAUUUAAUUAUUUUUAGUAAUUCGGUUAUAUCCGAUUUUCGAGUUCGAGAUUAAUUUCUCAUUCUCUCACUGCUCGCUCACAUACUAGCUCUACAGACUCAGAAGACUUCUCAUCUCUUAGACUCUCACCUCUCAGUCUCAGAUCUCAAAUCGAUUUCUCAUCUCUCAGUCUAAGAUCUUAGAUCUCUCAUCUCUUCUCGCCCCUGGCCUUGCCUUCAGAUGUCUCACUCUACCCUAGCCCCUAGUGCCCUAACCCAAAAGUCAUAAUCUCAGUUCGGCAGUCCGCUCCGCCUCCGAACGGACCGAGUUUCCCUCUCUUUCGACAGUCUCUAUCUUCGAAGAAGUCUGAGGUAUCUACUUAUAUUUCCCUCUACUGUUUUUCGAAGUCGACGACCUCUAUCUUCGAACGGACCAAGUUUGGACGGAUUACGUAUUACUAAUUUUAAUUUUAAAUUAUUUUGUAUUAUUUAUUUUAGUUAUGUAUGUAUUAUUAUCAUAUUAUGUAUGAAGCAUUGGCCUUUCUGUUGUUUUGUGUUUACUGAAUGAUAAGUUUGUAAUGCUGUUUAUGUACUCAUAUAUUGGUAAUCAUUAUGCUUGCCUUCAUUUCGGUUAUUUAUCAAAUAAUCGCAUAGUAAAUUCGGUAAUUCGGCAAAUUCGGUUAUACAAUAAUUCAGUCAUCAGCUCGGAUAUCAGGAAUGUGCUAAUUGUACUUUUCGGUUAUAAUUGAAUAAGUUAUUUGGUUCGGUUAAAACUGAAUUGCUC
rnacentral:lncRNA from 1 species